rnacentral:rRNA from 1 species
GAUUGGAUUGCACGUCUAAGCAGUAAGGCUGAGUAUUAGGCAAAUCCGGUACUCAUUAAGGCUGAGCUGUGAUGGGGAGAAGACAUUGUGUCUUCGAGUCGUUGAUUUCACACUGCCGAGAAAAGCCUCUAGAUAGAAAAUAGGUGCCCGUACCGCAAACCGACACAGGUAGUCAAGAUGAGAAUUCUAAGGUGAGCGAGCGAACUCUCGUUAAGGAACUCGGCAAAAUGACCCCGUAACUUCGGGAGAAGGGGUGCUCUUUAGGGUUAACGCCCAGAAGAGCCGCAGUGAAUAGGCCCAAGCGACUGUUUAUCAAAAACACAGGUCUCUGCUAAACCGUAAGGUGAUGUAUAGGGGCUGACGCCUGCCCGGUGCUGGAAGGUUAAGAGGAGUGGUUAGCUUCUGCGAAGCUACGAAUCGAAGCCCCAGUAAACGGCGGCCGUAACUAUAACGGUCCUAAGGUAGCGAAAUUCCUUGUCGGGUAAGUUCCGACCCGCACGAAAGGCGUAACGAUUUGGGCACUGUCUCAACGAGAGACUCGGUGAAAUCAUAGUACCUGUGAAGAUGCAGGUUACCCGCGACAGGACGGAAAGACCCCGUGGAGCUUUACUGUAGCCUGAUAUUGAAAUUCGGCACAGCUUGUACAGGAUAGGUAGGAGCCUUUGAAACGUGAGCGCUAGCUUACGUGGAGGCGCUGGUGGGAUACUACCCUAGCUGUGUUGGCUUUCUAACCCGCACCACUUAUCGUGGUGGGAGACAGUGUCAGGCGGGCAGUUUGACUGGGGCGGUCGCCUCCUAAAAGGUAACGGAGGCGCUCAAAGGUUCCCUCAGAAUGGUUGGAAAUCAUUCAUAGAGUGUAAAGGCAUAAGGGAGCUUGACUGCGAGACCUACAAGUCGAGCAGGGUCGAAAGACGGACUUAGUGAUCCGGUGGUUCCGCAUGGAAGGGCCAUCGCUCAACGGAUAAAAGCUACCCCGGGGAUAACAGGCUUAUCUCCCCCAAGAGUUCACAUCGACGGGGAGGUUUGGCACCUCGAUGUCGGCUCAUCGCAUCCUGGGGCUGUAGUCGGUCCCAAGGGUUGGGCUGUUCGCCCAUUAAAGCGGUACGCGAGCUGGGUUCAGAACGUCGUGAGACAGUUCGGUCCCUAUCCGUCGUGGGCGUAGGAAAUUUGAGAGGAGCUGUCCUUAGUACGAGAGGACCGGGAUGGACAUACCUCUGGUGUACCAGUUGUCGUGCCAACGGCAUAGCUGGGUAGCUAUGUGUGGACGGGAUAAGUGCUGAAAGCAUCUAAGCAUGAAGCCCCCCUCAAGAUGAGAUUUCCCAACUUCGGUUAUAAGAUCCCUCAAAGAUGAUGAGGUUAAUAGGUUCGAGGUGGAAGCAUGGUGACAUGUGGAGCUGACGAAUACUAAUCGAUCGAAGACUUAAUCAAA